rnacentral:ncRNA from 2 species
UAUUGCUUGUUUCGGACAGGCACCGCGAAGGCGGUUUAAUAGGGAAGCCGGUGCGAAUCCGGCGCUGUCCCCGCAACUGUAACGCGGACGAACGUUCACAUCCACUGUGCGCUUUCGCGCAUGGGAAGGGAACGGGAGGAUGAGGCGGAGCCAGGAGACCUGCCUGACCGAAACGUGGUUU